rnacentral:rRNA from 1 species
CUGCUGCCUUCCGUAGGAGUCUGGUCCGUGUCUCAGUACCAGUGUGGGGGACCUUCCUCUCAGAACCCCUACGCAUCGUCGCCACGGUGGGCCGUUACCCCGCCGUCUAGCUAAUGCGCCGCAUGCCCAUCUUCUUCCGAUGAAUCUUUCCUCGAUCUCGGAUGCCCGAAACCGAUAUACGCGGGAUUAGCCUCCCUUUCGGAAGGUUGUCCCCCUGAAGAGGGCAGGUUGCAUACGUGUUACUCACCCGUGCGCUGGUCG